rnacentral:rRNA from 1 species
UCUCUUCGGGGAUGACUCAGCGAAACCGCGGACGGCUCAUUAAAUCAGUUGUGGUCUAAAUGGGCGACAGUUAUUUUUUGGAUAACUGUGGUAAUUCCAGAGCUAAUACAUGCGACUAAAGUCCCUAGCCUUUAUGGCGACGGAUGCUUUUAUUAGACCGAGGUGAACGGCUGCUUCCUCUUCGGAGGUUUCAGUACGCGAUGCUAAAGGUGACUCUGGAUAACACUUGAUAAGCGCACGCAACACUUUAGUGAGCGGCGCUGCCACUUUCGAGUGACUGCCUUAUCAGCUAGUAACGUUUGUUAUGCGCAAACGCUGGCUCUGACGGGUAAC